AUUAAUUCAUAUGGAAUUUUCAUGAAUAAUUUCUAAUCUCAAUGGAUAUGAACAUAUUCUCAAUUAGUUCUAAGUAACUAUCAAGGCUUACAUUAGAUGUUAAACUUAAAAUUAGCCACCACCCACCCUUAAAGCCCAUUAUCCCAAUCCAUAAAUAAUGAAAAAGUAUUCAAGCAAAAAAAGAUUUUCCAUUUUUCAUAUAUCCACACCUACCUAUACCAAAGAAGAAAGUGAGUCACAGAUGAUAGCACAAAAUGGAGAUCAGGCGAUUGAUUUGAAUAUAGACAUUAAGGACUAUUUCAAAGUUGACGAAAAACAAAAAUUAGCCUUAAAUCAUCUUCAAAAACUUUUUAAUGAUUAUAUUAAGCAGGACAAUACAACUGUGCAGAGUAUUUGUGAGCACGAAUCCAAACUUUAUGAUAUGUUACCACUGUUUUGCAAAGUAUUUCAAACUUUACCGCCUCAUUCGAUGCUCGAAAAAAUGGAUGGUAUAUUACAAUUUGCCGGAAAUGUUUCCAAACUUUUUGUCAAGGAAAUUAAAAGAAGAGCAGCCGUAUAUCCAGCUGAAAAUGCCAGCAUGACUAUCUUCAAAUUUUUGAUGAACGCAUAUUCCAACUCCACAAUUGCCCCUCUUCAAUUAUGCAAUGAUGACGUCACGAAUGAGACUCGCGAAUCAAAGGAUGCCAACUUCAGGAAUGGCUGGAAUUUAUUAUGCACUCUAGCCAUUUUGGCUGACUGUUCAAAUGAUUCCCCCUUAAGUUCUAGUCGUUUCGCGAUGGGGGUUAGAAGCAAAAAGGAUGCGAAGGAUCAAUUUAUUCGAAAUGAUAGCACCAAUCUUUCACCAUACGAUUCAAAUGAUGGUAGCAAUUGCCACGGUAUUAACGGCAAACCUAUAUUAGAUAUUUUGUCUUCCACUGGCUUGCCCUCUACACUCGUGAUGUGCGUUUCGCUUUUCGCCAAUCUUCCUUUCUUAAGAUCGGAUUUUUCUGACCAUAUCAACAACAUUCCAAAAGAUCGUGAUAGGGAAAUGGUUAUUACUAGUAAUGACAGUUAUGACGUGAGACAAGAUGACAUAUUAUUAGUCGAUAAUCUUCGUAGUGAAGGCCUAGAUUUAAAUUUAGAUAAUUCUAAUAAUAGCAAUAAUGUAAAGAACUUUUACCAACUGUUUCUGGAGAAAUUCUCUAGUUUAACACUAAUUUUAUGUGGACACAGUUUGGGACUUGCGGAACUGAUUGAGAAAGACGACCUGAAGAUACUAUUUCAAGCUUUUACGUCCAACUUUUGGCCUAACCACUUAAUCGCCUCAGACUGGCGGAAUUUGGCAAACGAGGCCAUUGGCUCAGCUUUGCGUCUUUAUUCACCCCCAGACGCCCUUCUAAGAUACUUACGCGCCACACGUUGCAUAACAAUUUGCCUCAACAAUGUGGAUCGUGAUUUGGCUACUUACUGUUCUCGGCUCGCCCUUUCUAAAUGUGAUAGCGGUCAUCUCAUUUCUGACCCAGGUGCUAUGGUUGACGCCUUAGCAAGCCUGGUAUCGUACGUUGAACGCUUGGCCGAGUUUGAAGAGAUUGCCAAAUUUACCAACGCUAAUGACGGCUUCCUGCAAGAGUUUCGGGCCGAGCGUGGCUAUGCCCUACUCACUGAUUUAGCCCUUGUCUAUGAACUCGACACCUCAUACCACGACGCUGCCGUUAAUGCGACACUCCUCUUAACACGACUUUGCUCUCUCGCUCCCGAUUACCGAUCUGAACCGCCCCGUUUGCGUAAUACGGCGGCAUUCCAGGCCCUGUUCUCUAUUUAUUUGGAGGGGCAUACAGACUUUUCUGCCUUACAAGCUUUAACUAGGAUACGCGCCAUCUUUGCUGCGGACAUGAGGAACUAUAGCUUUGUUCGCGAGAGCGUCAACCCCAUGGCACGCGCUUGUGAACGCCUGCCGCUGUUUGGGGUUGCCGUCUGGGAUGCCUACUUUGACGCGUUUGAUACAAUUAUGACUACCACUACAACGGAAUCUCCCACACUUUUCAAGGAGCUUGUUGCACUCGGUGUCACGCUCAAACAACUCUGCCUGGAUCCUUCGGUGAUAAAGAUCAAUGCAGACAAUGACUACCGAUUUGUUCGGCGUGUUUUCGAGUUCUUAGCUCGUGUGAUCCGAUACGAUCCAAAUAUUUUUAAAGACGCCGUACGGGAAGCGGGGUUGCUUGACAUUGCGGGCUCUCUCCUAAGACCACUGGCUUGUUCUAAAAUUUCAACUCGUCACGACACCUUCAUAUCUGCUACAGAUUUGCUUAGCCUGCUUAUCGCUGGUAAUAAUACCCGAAACGCUGACCUGUUUCGUGAGUGCUCGGGCUAUGUGACCUUUUUCAGCUCUGAUGACGGUCCUCUCAAUGAUCCUGCAUUAGCACCCCAUUUUCUUUCUGUGAUGCAACAAUUGCUUCUGCAUCCUGGAAGCGAUGAGGACAUGAAGAGGCUCACCCGACUUCUUCUAGCCUCUUCCUCUGACACUCAGUUAAAAAUUCAAGUGCUCAAGACGUUGACCUUCGUGAUGAAAGAAAGCCACCGAUGUCGCUCCACCUUUCGGAAGGUCGGAGGUUUUGUUUCUCUGUUCUCGGCCCUCGUGUCUCUAGAAAACUGUUUUGCCCCUACUUUAUCAAUGCCCUGCCAAGAGCAAUAUCAAAUGGUAAAGUUUACCACUGAUAAAGAUAAAUAUCGGAUGCUCAAAGGUCUUCUUAGCCUUCUCACCGUUUCAAUGCGUUACGAAUUUGCGAAUUCAAAGUUUUUCAUUGCUGAAAUUAAAUACGAAAAUUUUGUAGAAACUAUUAAGGCUUUAGGCCCAUUCACGCCUGGUCGCAUUAGCCACCUCGGUGAAAUUACAGAAAUUUCUCAAUCUGUCGACUUAGAUGAGAUAACUCAGAAGGAUGUGCUAAUGUUUUACGAUACGUUCGAUAAAAUAUUUUCUAGAACCGUAAAUAUUAUUUCCAAUGAGACCUCGAUGAUAGAUUCGUCGAAUAAAGAGUUUCAAGGUGUUCCACUAAAUUUAAUUCACGCCUGCUAUAUUUUACGUCACGUAUACGAUAUAGGACUGGAUUUGUACGAACGAAGCAAUAAUUGCUAUCAGACAUUUGCUUAUGCUAGUCUGCAAUCGACGUUAUCCGUGACCUCGUUCGAAAAUGCAAUUAUUGUACAUCCUUUUGCGAUCGCAAUGCUGAUGGAAUUGAUUUAUUUUAUUGAUAGCGAGGUAGAACCGGCAAAGCUGGGGCUACAACAAUAUUUAAUGGAUAUAAUAAAAUCGGUCAUCAGAAGCGAACGAAAUCAACAAAUUAUGUGCCAACAAUCAGGUAUGAUGCGUUUGAUAAUGACCAAAUUCGCCAGGCCGCUCAAGGACAUUUACCAACCCUUGCACUCUCAGACUCAAUUUAUUUUUGAAAGAUUAGCCACUCACGCUAUCGUUCCUGAAGAUUUAAAACAAUUUCUCACGAUACCCAUGAACGUAACAGACGAUGUCCAUAAAGACUGCGAAGCGCUUAACACAUCAUUGCUAAACACGGUUAAGUGCUUAGUAACCAUGACUACUCAAUCUUCUCAAAACGGUUUCAAUCAUCAUGACAAUAUGAACAUAAUAUAUGACUUCGAUGCGUCUUUUAUUGAGUUUAAUAUGAGCACGGAGGGUUUCGCUUGCGUUUAUAUACCGAGUUUAGCCCCUCAGACCAGCAAUAUCAAUAUUGCAAUGACCGGAGUAACGAUAGCCUCUGGAAAUCCUCUGAUUGGCGGAAUAGGAAUGGGAGAAAGAAUUUUUCCUUCUCAGUCCGGGAUCUCCUUCUCAUCCUGGUUUAAGAUUAAAGAAUUUGGAGACAUCUCAUCUAAUCACCCCAUCAGACUUUUGACCCUUGUUAGAGAUUUUUCUGACGAGCCCAAAAAAUCGCAAUCUAAAACAAAUUUUUGCAAUUAUCAUCAGCGAGUUUGCUUGUCCAUGGGAAUUCGCACUCACGAUAAAGCUUUUUGGAUUUCGACCAGAGACAUACCGCUAGGUGUCACCGAUCUCAAUACCAAUGUUACCGGUUCUCAUACCCCUACGACUUUAACAUUGGAUUAUAUUCGUUUGGAACAAGCCGAGAAUAUUUCCGGAGUCACCAAUACGCACUUAGAUUCCUCAUAUAAUUUUGCCCUUUUUACGGAGACAUCAACUUGGUUCUCUGAAAAUAACUGGAACCAUAUAGGAAUAUCCAUAAAUCGCUCCGUAUUGAAAAAUAAUUCAGUGACCCUUUAUUUAAAUGGUAUCUUAAUUGGUACAAAAAAAAUGAAUUACAUUAUACAGUAUCCUAUGGGGUCCUCAAGCUCUAAUUCAUCCUCUCGAUUUUUAAAUUUAUACGCCUUCAUAGGAAGCCCCCCGAUAUUAAGAAAAUUUUCGAAAUUAACAUGGCAGCAAGGGCCGGUUCACUUGUUCGAAGAAUCAAUGAGCCACGCACAAAUAUUUGCGAUCUUCGUUAAAGGGCCCUCCUACAUUGGAAAUUAUCUUGAAAGCGAUGGGGUCAAUUCUGUACAGUUAACGAAGAUUUUAUCAGCUAAUAAAGAUAUAAAAAUGGAAGAUCUUAAUUACCCCAUCAUACCCGAAGAAAAAAUAAUGCUAAGCUUGCAUCCUGCCUCCUUUUCAACCAUGACACUCUCAAAUAUCAAGAAGAUUUUUAAUAGAAUUGACGCGAAAUACAUCGCGAAACAAAUGAACAUGUCGACUCAUGAUAAUAACACACCUAUAAAACUUUUAAAUAAUACAAGCGGCCAUUUGUUUGGCUCGGCUCGUUCCAUGGGUGGAAUUAUAAUAGGUUACUUGGGUAUUCGUACGUUUAUCCCUAAACCAAUGGCGUACACGCUUUUCUCCAUUGGCGGGAUCCCGCUCAUACUAGGAUUAUUGGCCCUAUCCAAUUCUUCAGAAAGUUUUUACGCCUCGCUCAAGUCGCUGGUGGGUGUAUUUCAUAGCAAUCCUCACGCAAUGAGCCAAAUGUCGACUAUACGGGGCUACCAAAUGAUUGCUCUGUUUUUGAAACUUAAAAAAAACAUAUUAAAUAAUCAUAUCCUAUAUUUGAUUUUUGGUUUAGUUGGCACAAUAGACUCUCAACGGUUGACAGUUAAGAUUACCAACGUCGAAGCAUUCGAGGAUAUAUUGUACGACUUUGAAGUGUGGCUUAAUUUAAACGAGGAAGCUAUACGUUUCUUAUUUCAACACCACUUUGAAUUAACCAUGGAUUCGACCGAGUCCUCUAGUAAUAUAGGUAUCAUGCAGAAAAUGGAUGGUAUUUCUAAAUAUCUUUACUUUCUACAUCGUCAUUUAAUCGAUUCGCGAGAUCGAAUUGUAACCUUUAAAUCAUUUGACAGCUCAUGUAUCGAGUUAAUUUUUAAAAUAUUGGCCCUAAUGCUAAAGGAAGGAAAUUUCUCGAAGAAUUUGCUGAAUUUUGGACAAUUUAUGACUACCUUAGUACCACAUAAAGCAGCUGAUGAGCAUCUAUUCUGUUAUGAUCACGAAUCUGACUUGCCCACUUUGGAUCACGUCAAUGUCAAAAAAAUAGGAUUAAGAAAUCUUUGUUUUGACAUUCUGACCUCUCUUUGCUUUGAUAAUUUUGGAGCCAAGGACGAGGAAGUUUGUUCGAAAAUCGAAAGCUCUCUAGGUUUAGAUUGGUUUUUUAAUUUUAUGUUACCAUAUAUCCACGAAUCGACAUUCAUAAAAUCGCUGAGACUUUUAGGAAUAGUGAUAGGUGCCAAUUCAUCCACCAUUGACAAUUUUGUAGAUCAGGAUCCCUCGAGUUUCGGCCAUUGGUUGAAUAACGCGCUAUCCGUGCUUCAAAAAAGUCAGGCAAUGUUAUUAGGAUACAAUUUAACCUCCAAAAAUCACGAAAUUCCAUCAGAUGAUCACCGUACGGUUAAAAUGAAUAUUUUGGCAGGUCAUAAAUACUCAUCCUUUUCAUUUCUAAUGACAUUAAUUCUCUCUCAAACUGAUCGUGUUUCGUCCCCCAUUUUCCUUAUUCUUUUCGCGUGGAUGCUCGGUCAGCCUAUCCGACAAAUUCCGACCUGCGAAAAUAGAUUAAAUCUAGAUAUUAUAUGUAGGUACGUGUUUGGAGUGUCCCCCAACACCGCGACUUCAUUAAACGAAUCCGCCGAAUCGAAUCAUGUUUCAGUAAACGAAUACGUCGUAUAUCUUAUUUUGAACCUCGUAUCUCAAAUGAACGCCGAUUCUAGAAUCCUGACGGUGCCAAACAAACGAGAGAGUUCGCCGCCAUGCAAUGUUGAUGCUCAAACUACUCUUCAGCCCAAUAUUUCGUGUUUAAUCCUUCAAUUUUUUGUUUUUCUUUAUCACAACUUUAUCGAGUUUCAGAGUGUGUGUUUCCAAGAACCAUUUUUAUUGCAUUUGAAAACCAUACUGUUGGGCAUAUCGCCCGAUUCAUAUCAAAAUUUUGAGCGCGAUUACGAUGUCACGAUUUCGCUUUUGGACCAAAAUUCACAAUCUAAUAAUUCGCGAAACGAAAUAGUUAUGAUUAAUAAACGCUCGAACGAUGAAUUGCCGGCACGCAAAGAAUCUCAUUUGAAACGGCUCGUUAAAGAUUUUUUGAAAUGCAUCGUAGUUGACAGUUUUGACGAGUACCAAUCUCCUAAAAACUACAUAUUAGAUAUGAUACUCGAAAAUCACCCAUCCAUUAAUCGGGCAUUAUUUUGUAGGUUUCAAACUGAUAUUUUAACGACCACCAUGGAGCAUUUGGUAGCUGUCGAUGCCGUUUUAUCUUUCUCUGAUAAUUUGCCCAAAUCCGAGGUUAGAUCCUCUUCCCGCGUUUCGAAUAUCAACAAACAAAUCAAUAUCACCUAUUUUUCCUUGAAACUGGUGGACAAAAUAUGGCAGGGAAUAUAUUUGGAUUCUUCUGGCCCCGUAUUUGAUUUUAUCAUCAACCUGAUUAUCGAAGCCAAAUGUAACAAUUGGAUCAUAAAUUACGAAUGUUUAUACGCUGCGAUCAAUAGAUUAAUUUUGUACCAAUUGUCGCAGGAUAUUAUAACGGAUAAAGAACUAAUAAUGAAUUGUUUGAGGAAAAUUAUUAACUAUAAGUAUUACAUUUUCGCUAAAAACAGCAGUGUCACGAUAUCCGAAUUCAUAGCCGCGAUGUGUUAUUGUUUGUUUCGUAUACACGAGGCAUCCAAUUUGCCCCCAAAAUAUUAUGCCGAUCCAGACUGGCACGUUUUGAAUACCACCGCCAACACGACGGAAAACAAUGUUAAUACUAUUAAAAAUAACCCUCAAUCGAGCGCGUUGGAACAGAUUCGCGAAACGUCCCAAAAAGCCUGGGAAGAAUUGUAUUUACAUAAUAAAUCAACCAUUGAAAGCGUCUUCAGAUUUAACGCCAGUACGAAUCCAUUUCUGUAUCCGUCACUUUCCAAUUUUAGGCCAUUGCUUUACGAAUCCUCUAAACGUUUUUGGGUGACGUACAUCGAGAAUGAGCAAAAAAUGUCCUUGACUAGUUUAAGCGGGACGAAUUCUCCUUUUUAUUCAGCUUCUUUGAUACCUUCCAAUCUUCAACAAAAACUGGAAAUCGGAUUACAGAAAAUAGGGAGUGGGUUCGGAAAGUCCACGAAAUCCAAACCCAAGAAAGAAAUCAAUUUCAAAGUUGAUAAUUCAUCCCUCGAUCGAAUAAUCGAUCAUAUAGGCGUUAACAUAUCUAUAAUAUCGGAUCUGGUAGAUAUGCAAUAUGAUCAUUUCUACCAAACUCAAGUUGUGCUCAGGAGGCAAUACGCCAUAGAGCAAUGGAAGAAAAUAGAGAAGGAGCUGAUCAGAGAAAGAAGUUUAUGGGGCUCGCAACAACCAGAUCCUUUGGAAAAAUGGAUACUGGAUUCUACCGAGGGUCCAUGUAGAAUGCGUAAAAAAAUGACACAAAAUCCAGAUUUCUAUGUUCAUUAUCCCUACAUCGUAUCACGUGAUGCAGUAAAUCAUACUAACACUAAAAACAAGAAAUUUAAAAGUUUGAAGCCCCCACUGAGUUUGGACAGCGAACUCUAUUACAAGAGAAAUAAGGUUAAACCAAAAUUUGUUUUUCUGCGUGAACUUCUAGCAGAACAUGUGAACGAUAUUUGCGAAAAAAAUCGCAAGGGGAGGCAGCUAAAUUCGUUAGAUAUAUUUUGCUCAAAAAAUCGCGUCGAUAAUGAUUCGAAUAUUUCCACUAUCAAGACGAAUGCUGAUAAUGAUCUCGAUGCGAAAAUAACCGAGAAUUUGAUGAUCAGUGAUGGAAAUCUUUUGGAUCCUGCCGAUCAGUUCGAACGAGAUAUCCGGCGAUUAUCCAUGAAAUUUAGAAGAUUAUCUUCCGGGGCGGCUAAUCGAAAAAAAAGAGAGGGAACUGAUAAAAUAAUUAACGAACCCUUUUCUUUGCUUCUGGAUUCGGAUAUCAAGGAAAAUGUAGAGGAUACGGAUGACGUAGCCCGGAAAGCCGAAACUUUUUCGGAGCAGCUCAUGAAAGAUAAAAUAGUUGAUGAUUAUCAGUCAAAUGUUAAUAUUGGAUCCUUGGAGAUCCUGAGCGAAGGAUCGUCAUCCAUAGAUAAUGCAAAAUUUACUCAAGGCACUGAAGUAAUCGAUUCCUCCGGAACAUUAGCUCAAGCUUCAUCCCCCUUGGUUUCGUCAAUCAUUCCCGAUAAUCAAGCUAUUCUUAGAUUAAUAGAAGAAAAGGAAACGAUCAAAUCGAUGUUCAGAUGUGCGCGCGUGGAUGGUUUAGAUACAUACGAAGGGCUUUUGCUCUUUGGUAAUCAUCAUUACUAUAUUGUCGACGGAUUUACCUUAUUAAAAACACGAGAAAUUAGAGACAUUCAUACGUUACCGUCUAACUAUCAUGACCCUAUCAUACCAUUCAGUCCAAUGCAAAAGGAUAUCAAGAAGAAGUGCCAUAAGUUUUCUUAUUGCGAUAUAAAGGAAGUCUUAAAGAGGCGUUACUUAUUGUUGCCGAUCGGUUUAGAAAUAUUUUCCGCCGACGGACGAAAUUAUUUGUUGGUGUUUCCUAAAACAACGCGCGACAAAGUUUACAAUAGAUUUUUACUGCUAGCUAAAAGACUGAUAGACGAUGCCAAAAGUUCGAUCGCGGGUCAAAGAAGUAACGUAAAUGUAGAAUUCAGCCCUUCUUCCUCGACGACUGCCGGAUUUUUGAAUACCUUUAUAAUCGGUGAAAAAUCGGUCACUAAACGAUGGGUGAAAGGAGAAAUCAACAAUUUUCAAUAUUUAAUGUAUUUGAAUACCUUGGCCGGUCGAUCAUAUAACGAUCUCAUGCAAUACCCAGUAUUUCCUUGGAUUUUAUCCGAUUACACAUCCCAAGAUAUAGAUCUUCAGCGGUGUGAAUCCUUUAGAGAUCUUGGUAAACCUAUGGGUGCCCAAACUCCUCAAAGAUUGGCUCAAUUUCGUAAAAGGUUUGAUGAAUGGGAUCGUGAGUUGCUUCUCGAUAGCACUUCUAAAAUUAACAGUAAUAUGAGCGGAGGCGGGUUAGUUGGCGGAGCAGGCACAGAAAGCACACCCCCAUAUCACUACGGGACUUGUUAUUCUUCGGCCAUGAUAGUGGCUUCCUACCUUUUCAGGAUGGAACCAUUUACCCAGCACUUUCUCAAGCUUCAAGGUGGCCAUUUUGAUUUGCCAGACCGCAUGUUUCACAGCGUUGGCGAAGCCUGGCUAUCGGCCUCACUUCAUAACAUGGCGGACGUUAAGGAAAGCUUACCCGAGUUUUAUUAUUCCCCUCCAGCCCAAAAUUUCCUCGUCAACGCAAAUCAUUUCUCUCUCGGCCGCAAACAAAGUGGACCCAUUUUAAACGAUGUUGUCUUACCACCCUGGGCUAAGUCGGACCCAACCCUCUUCAUAACGAUCAAUAGGGCCGCGCUCGAGAGUCCAUUCGUAUCAGCCCGACUCAACCAAUGGAUCGAUCUUAUUUUUGGUUAUAAACAAAGGGAUUCUGCGGCCAUAGAAGCUGUCAAUGUAUUCCACUAUUUGUUUUAUGAAGGAAGUUCCGAUAUAUUCAUGAUAGAUGAUCCUAUGGAAAAAAAUGCAAUAGUAGGAUUUAUCAAUAAUUUUGGACAGAUACCAAGUCAACUGUUCAAAAAGCCCCACCCUACCAAAAGAUUAAACAUAUACAGUUUUCAUUAUCCCUUCAAUCUUCCAUUGGAAGAUGGUAUGGAAUCCUUAAAUGUCCACACGGCAUCAUCUGCUAGCGAUUUAUUGGGUUCUCGAUCUUUCACUAUAUUACACUAUUUGGACUUGUUAAAACUCGCCUCCAUCAAUCCGAUCAAACAAUUAAGGGAAGGAUCUGUUGGCCAAAUUUUAUCUAUAGAUGAUAUUAAGAACACCAUAUCCAAUCUAAACUCAAUGUUUUUAGCUGUCGAGCAAAAUAAAACUCUGUGUUUCGAUGCCAACUCGAAAGUAGUGGUUUUAUCUUGGGGCCACCCGGACAAAUCCAUCCUUUAUCAUUAUCUUUCCGAUAGCAUACAAACUAACUCCUACGCCGGGACAUAUUCCACCUACGCCGCUUCCAUGUCGAUCUCCAAUUACCGAACCAAUAUGGUUCAUCCUAAUCUUUCCCAUCACCAUCUCGAUCCUUACAUGGUUCAGGCUCAAUACAAUGACGUCAAUAUUAUCCCCUUUGAUUGUCAUUGUUCUCCCGGAAUCACUUUAGGGGUAUUUAUGGAGAUAACUUGUUGCGUUGCUCUUUAUCACCAGGAAACAGCCGCAAUUUCCAAUUCGAAAUCGGAUCCAUAUCAAGGCCAUAAUAAUAAUAAUCUUCUACUUAUAACUGGAGGCUCCGAUGGCGUUAUCAGAGUUAUUACUAGGAACGAAACUGGUACCGCUUCUGAAAGAAACAAUGUUAAGUGUCUGUACGGUCACGAUGAGGCUGUAACCUGUCUGGCAGCUAGUAAAACAUUCAAAGUUAUGGUCAGCGGUUCUAGGGAUCGAACAAUUUUGCUUUGGGAUCUCAAUAGACUCUCUUUUGUUAAACAACUUAUACCUCCUCUUAUACAUCAAAAUAAGGGCCUCCUAAAGAAUAAUUCCUUUAACGAUUCUGGCGACAAUGACGCCAAGAAUAUCAUGGAAGAGGGCGAGAUGUUUCAAUACACUUCCCCAAUUUCGGCUCUCCAUAUAAACGACUUAACAGGUGACAUCAUUUCAUGCGCAGGAUCUGAUGUGUAUCUAUGGAACGUCAAUGGUCAAUUUAUAUCACAUUCCGAUAUGAACGGCAUUCCCUUACCAAACGAGCAAUAUAUAAUAGGAUACACCCAACUGAAAAGGGAUAACUCAAUAAAAAUCAAAGAGAAAUUCGAUAAAAUAAAGCAAGGUUUUAAAAAUUGUCAAAUUUUGUGCACAACUAUGACUCAUUACACGGAAUGGGAUCCCAUUAAUCUUAUCUUUGUGGGUUCAAAUGACGGCUUGGUCCGAAUUUUAGCGCUCGAAUAUAUUAUAUCCCAACAAACUGAGGAUUCGCAUGAUACGACGUUAUUGCAACUCAAAGCUACCCAGUCCAAUAAUUAUAUCCUCAAGUCAAAUAUCCUAACUACUAAUCCCGAUGAAGAAAACUCUGUAGUGAGCAAUACCCAGCAAACCGAGGUUCUAGAUAAAACGGAUGAUUUAGUACCCUGUAUCGAAGAACAAAAAACAAUCGACUCCUAUGUGGCACCAACCAGUCAUUAUGAUUAUAAGGAUCCCAUCAUCAAAAUAAUUAAUGAAAACACCACUCCCGAUGAUAAAGAUGACUUCGAAUCCUUUACCGUCGAAGAUAUUGAAUCCGCUAAAAAAUACCAUGAACAAAUUCUUUCAUCUUCCGUUCCUAUAGCAUAUUAUUAUCGAUACUACUGCUCCCCAUCAAAUAAGCCACCCAGUUCUCACAUUCCCUUUUUGGGUGAUGAUAAGUAUUCAAAUGUGGCUCUCAAAAAUCAUCAGUGGGUUCCCACCUUGGUCCUGAAAUACAUUAUGAUAUCCCCGGCAAACGAUAUUUGUCCGGUGACCGCUUUGGCAAUAUCCAAAGAUCAUAAGCACGUAUUUUGUGGAGAUGGCAAAGGUCGCAUAUACGCUUGGAACCUUCCCACUAAUUUGUCUCACAUUGCUAAUCAACAGUGGCUCAAAAAUGGUCCCGAAAACCCUAACGGUAAAUCCAACAUUAAUGACAGCGAUUCCAAUACACUAUCUUCAGAAAUAGUCAACAAAAUGACAGUGGUCUGUCAAGAUUGCAAUGCCAUAUUUAAUUUUUCCGAACGUAAACAAUUCCGGUGUAAAAAUUGCAACCUGAUAUUUUGUUCCAACUUAUAUUGGUAAAACGUUUGGAAGAGGCAGACUACCUGCUUUGUUUAAUAUUGAACUCUGGAAUUGUUACCAAUCAACACUGAACAGGGAAGCGAAAACCAACAACGUGGUUGAAGGGUGGCAUAUAUGCUUCAGUUCCCUCCUAACAAGUUACCAUCCAAACAUGUGGAAAUUUAUAUCAAGCUUAAAAAAACAACAAGGGUUGACAGAGUUAAAAAUUGCUCAAUAUAAUUCUGGUGAAACACCCUCUACCCCGAGAAAAAAAUAUCGAAAUCUACAUGCGAGAAUAGUAACAAUUGUUUCUGACUUCGAAAAUCGAUCAAGA